GAAACUAACCAGGAUUCCCCCAGUAACGGCGAGUGAACGGGGAUAAGCCCAGCAUCGAAGCCUAUGCCUAUUUGGGUGUAAGGCAAUGUGAUGUUAUGGAGUGUACCUAGGGUUACUGAUCAACUCGAAGUCCAAUAUUGAAUGUGGCUUUUGUAUUUGGCCCAGAGCGGGUGAAAGGCCCGUGCGAGUUGAUUGUUAGACAAGUCUAGUUAACCUCUAGAUGUGCACUCUGUGGAGUCGGAUUGCUUGAGAAUGCAGUCCAAAGUUGGUGGUAAACUCCAUCAAAGGCUAAAUACUGGCACGAGUCCGAUAGUAAACAAGUACCGUGAGGGAAAGUUGAAAAGUACUCUGAAGAGAGAGUAAAUAGUACGUGAAACCACUUACAGGUAAACUGGUGGAGUCCAGCUGCGUGUCUUUGGGAUUUAGCUGGUGUGUUUUAAAAUACAACUAGUGGUUUGUCUAUAAUGACAAGUGAGGGUUCACGCCCGAUUCAUGUCCAAUUUGUAGUUGGAAUGAGCUGCUAGUUUAAAAAGUAUUUGCAUGCCAGUGCCAUUUCCUUAGACUGACAUCACAGUCAAUAUAGCUGCUAGUGUGUGAUGAUCAAACCGUGGAAUGGUGGGCAUUCAUGCUCAUCUUCUACGUGGAUGGCAGGUGGCUAGAUAGCUUGCUUCGUGUCGGCUAUUUGGUUUAAAAAUGGUUGCGGCCAGCCGAUCAUCAUGCUGUUUAGUUUGCAUUUAACUAUGCAGUAUAUUGCUAACGAGUAUCGCGUUCUAACAAUGCAAUUAUUUAUCUAGCUCAUGGUUGAUUAUGUCAAAACGUGUCGGUUGUGCAGAUUUAGUUUAAAUGAUUGUACUGUGCGAAAGUGUUCUCACAUAAACUGUGGUGUUGUGGUA
rnacentral:rRNA from 1 species